AUUGAACGCUGGCGGCAGGCUUAACACAUGCAAGUCGAGCGCGUAGCAAUACGAGCGGCAGACGGGUGAGUAACACGUGGGGAUCUGCCCAAUGGUACGGAAUAACUCAGGGAAACUUGUGCUAAUACCGUAUGUGCCCCUCGGGGGAAAGAUCUAUCGCCAUUGGAUGAACCCGCGUCAGAUUAGCUAGUUGGUAGGGUAAAGGCCUACCAAGGCGACGAUCUGUAGCUGGUCUGAGAGGAUGAUCAGCCACACUGGGACUGAGACACGGCCCAGACUCCUACGGGAGGCAGCAGUGGGGAAUAUUGGACAAUGGGCGCAAGCCUGAUCCAGCCAUGCCGCGUGAGUGAUGAAGGCCUUAGGGUUGUAAAGCUCUUUCACCGGUGAAGAUAAUGACGGUAACCGGAGAAGAAGCCCCGGCUAACUUCGUGCCAGCAGCCGCAGUAACAC
rnacentral:rRNA from 1 species